AAUAUUAGUCGCAUCCAGCAUGAAAAAUUCCAUGAGUGGUUUAAAUUACAUGUGGCAGAGCUAGUAGAGAAUGGUGAAGAAGUGUCCGAAGAGAUCCAAACUUUAACGUCUGGACCCUUCAUUGCUGCAAAAACAUAUAGCAGCUAUACUAUAAAUGGGGUAAAUUUCCACACAAGGUCCUACGAUGAUGGUAGGCGCAGCCAAAGUAGUGGAGUUGCUCUAGUUGCACAAACAUCUAUAAAUGCUGAAAAUCUUAUAGUGGGGAGUAAAAUAUAUUAUGGUGUGAUAACAGAAAUUCUGGAAUUAAACUAUCAACACAAAGGAAAUAUCGUGCUAUUUAAAUGUGAUUGGUUUGACAACCAUGUACCAGACAAGUGGGUAAAAGUCGAUAAAUUUGGCAUCACGAAUGUGCAGGCUAAGCAUUUAUUUAACUCUGAUGAGCCAUUCAUUUUGUCUUCGCAAGCAACUCAGGUGUAUUAUGUUGAACAUACCACUGACAAAGAUUGGUAUAGCGUUGUUUAG
rnacentral:rRNA from 1 species